CGGGUGAGUAACGCGUAGGUAAUCUAUCCUUACAUUUGGGAUAACAUUGGGAAACUGGUACUAAUACCGAAUGGUCUUCUUUGCUGCGGGGCGAAGGAGUAAAGGUGGCCUCUUCAUGAAAGCUACCGUGUAGGGAUGAGCCUGCGUACCAUUAGCUAGUAGGUGGGGUAACGGCCCACCUAGGCUACGAUGGUUAGCGGGUCUGAGAGGAUGAUCCGCCACACUGGAACUGAAACACGGACCAG
rnacentral:rRNA from 1 species